rnacentral:rRNA from 1 species
AACCUCCGCAAUGUGAGAAAUCGCGACGGGGGGAUCCCAAGUGCCAUUCUUAACGGGAUGGCUUUUCAUUAGUGUAAAGAGCUUUUGGAAUAAGAGCUGGGCAAGACCGGUGCCAGCCGCCGCGGUAACACCGGCAGCUCUAGUGGUAACAAUUUUUAUUGGGUCUAAAGCGUCCGUAGCCGGUUUAAUAAGUCUCUGGUGAAAUCCUGUAGCUUAACUGUGGGAAUUGCUGGAGAUACUAUUAGACUUGAGACCGGGAGAGGUUAGAGGUACUCCCAGGGUAGAGGUGAAAUUCUGUAAUCCUGGGAGGACCGCCUGUUGCGAAGGCGUCUAACUGGAACGGUUCUGACGGUGAGGGACGAAAGUUAGGGGCGCGAACCGGAUUAGAUACCCGGGUAGUCCUAACUGUAAACGAUGCGGACUUGGUGUUGGGGUGGCUUUGAGCUGCUCCAGUGCCGAAGGGAAGCUGUUAAGUCCGCCGCCUGGGAAGUCGGUCGCAGACUAGAAACUUAAAGGAAGU